rnacentral:rRNA from 1 species
UACAGAGGUCUCAAGCGUUGUUCGGAUUCAUUGGGCGUAAAGGGUGCGUAGGUGGCGGGGUAAGUCGGGUGUGAAAUCUCGGGGCUUAACUCCGAAACUGCAUUCGAUACUACCGUGCUUGAGGACUGGAGAGGAGACUGGAAUUUACGGUGUAGCGGUGAAAUGCGUAGAUAUCGGGAGGAACACCAGUGGCGAAGGCGACUUCCUGGCCUGUUCUUGACGCUGAGGCGCGAAAGCUAGGGGAGCAAACGGG